GGGCCCGCACAAGCGGCGGAGCAUGCGGCUUAAUUCGAUGCAACGCGAAGAACCUUACCUAGGCUUGACAGUUGGGGAAAUCUGGCAGAGAUGCCAGGUCCGUAAGGGCCCCAAAACAGGUGGUGCAUGGCUGUCGUCAGCUCGUGUCGUGAGAUGUUGGGUUAAGUCCCGCAACGAGCGCAACCCUCGUCGUAUGUUGCCAGCGGAUAAUGCCGGGGACUCAUACGAGACUGCCGGGGUCAACUCGGAGGAAGGUGGGGACGACGUCAAGUCAUCAUGCCCCUUAUGUCUAGGGCUGCACGCAUGCUACAAUGGCCGGUACAGAGGGCUGCGAAACCGCAAGGUAGAGCGAA
rnacentral:rRNA from 1 species